AUGAAGAACGCAGCGAAAUGCGAUAAGUAAUGUGAAUUGCAGAAUUCAGUGAAUCAUCGAAUCUUUGAACGCACAUUGCGCCCGCCAGUAUUCUGGCGGGCAUGCCUGUUCGAGCGUCAUUUCAACCAUCAAGCCCCAGGCUUGUGUUGGGGACCUGCGGCUGCCGCAGGCCCUGAAAACCAGUGGCGGGCUCGCUGUCACACCGGGCGUAGUAGAUUUUAUCUCGCUCAGGGCGUGCUGCGGGUUCCGGCCGUUAAAAAGCCUUUUUUACCCAAGGUUGACCUCGGAUCAGGUAGGAAGACCCGCUGAACUUAAGCAUAUCAAUAGCGGAGGA
rnacentral:misc_RNA from 1 species